rnacentral:rRNA from 1 species
AUUGAACGCUGGCGGCAUGCCUUACACAUGCAAGUCGAACGGUAACAGGUCUUCGGAUGCUGACGAGUGGCGAACGGGUGAGUAAUACAUCGGAACGUGCCCGAGAGUGGGGGAUAACGAGGCGAAAGCUUUGCUAAUACCGCAUACGAUCUCAGGAUGAAACCAGGGGACCGCAAGGCCUUGCGCUCACGGAGCGGCCGAUGGCAGAUUAGGUAGUUGGUGGGAUAAAAGCUUACCAAGCCGACGAUCUGUAGGUGGUCUGAGAGGACGACCAGACACACUGGGACUGAGACACGGCACAGACUCCUACGGGAGGCAGCAGUGGGGAAUUUUGGACAAUGGGCGCAAGCCUGAUCCAGCCAUGCCGCGUGCAGGAUGAAGGCCUUCGGGUUGUAAACUGCUUUUGUACGGAACGAAAAGACUCUGGUUAAUACCUGGGGUCCAUGACGGUACCGUAAGAAUAAGCACCGGCUAACUACGUGCCAGCCGCCGCGGUAAUAC